GCGGGUAUGGCGUAAUGGCAGCGCGUAACCUUCCCAAGGUUGAGGCGCGGGUUCGAUUCCCGCUACCCGCUC
rnacentral:tRNA from 2 species